rnacentral:lncRNA from 1 species
AGAGCUGCACCUGCAGCAUAUGAAAGUUCCCAGGCUAAGGGUCGAAUCAGAGCUGCAGCUGCAGGCCCAUGCCACGGCCACAGCAAUGCAGGAUCAGAGCUGCAUCUGAGACCUACAUCACAGCUCAUGGCAAUGCCGGAUCCUUAACCCACUGAGCAAGGCCAGGGAUCAAACCCAAGUCCUCAUGGAUACUGCUCAUGUUUGUUUCCACUGUGCCACAACGGGAACUCCUAGAUCAACAUAUGUUUGCUAAAGAAUUUCUGAUGCAGGAUAAACUCCUCACUAACUCCUUUUUACCUCUCAGGAAAGAAAUCAAGCCCCAAGUGAUGAGAUUGUAGGAGCUGUGGGUCCUUACUUGCUAACUGUGUUGGGUGUGGAGGAACUUGAGAAGAACUUGUCACUGUUCCCAAACCAGUACUCUCUGUCACCUUGGGAUCCAUAACGGCUGGUAGCAAUGUCUGGACUGGCUGGGUCCCAGUCUUCAAAGUACUGACCGUAACCCAGGGUCUUCCAGUGGUGCUGCUGCUCUCUGCUUUCAUGGUGUCACUUGAACUUGGAGUUGCCGGGGAAGAAGUAAUCCAGGGAGGGUGUGGGCUGGUUGAAGAAUGGGUGGGAGGUGAGGUUGAAGAGGGGGAAGGUGCUGAAGCUGAAGAAGGUAGGCUCUCCGCAGCGGCGGACACAGUAGUAACCUCAGGGCCUGACUCUGUCCUAGAAGAUGCACGAACUAAGGAGGUAGCCAAGAUGGCACCUGGAAUUCCAGAGGUGACAAAGGAAGCUGGGGCCUCUGAUGCAGAAGGUGUCAGUGUGUUAGCAAGAAGGGUCUCCAUUGAAGAGAGCAUAUCCAUGCCUAGGUUGUGAGGACUUUCUGACACUGGCACAGAAAGAUUGGAUUCUGGGACAGUUAUGCCAGCAGAUCCUGUGACAGAGGGAGGAGCAUAAGAACGUGCGAGUGUUUCUGUGGGAGUUUCAGUACCCUGUGUAGAGAGAGGCUGACCUGGGACUGAUAAUUUCACAGAAGAGGUAGUCUCAGGACUCUCUGAACUGUGUGCGGACAGAGGAGAUGAAGGUGUGUUUGUGAAUGUGCUUGAGCUGGAUGCCAGGGCUCUGCUUGUCUCCCUCAGUCCAGCAAUGAGGUGGGAAAAUGUCUUUGUCUCAAAUGCUGUGGUCUUGAAGGAGGAAGGCAUUGAAGUGGCAAGAGGGGUCUCAUCCAUGGAGGAAGCUGUGCCCCUGGGGUAUGUGGCGCUGGAUGACUCAGCGUAAAUUGGGACCGAGGAACUUGGUUCAUGUCCAGAACUGCUGGAACCCCCAGUGGUCAUUGUUGUGUCUACAGAAGGGAGAAUUUUUGCCAUAUCUAUGGAGAAUUCGGAAGUGGACAGUAUCUCAAUGGUGGUGCUGAUCACGCUUGUGGGUGAACUGGUCUCAGGCUCUAAGCUUGGACCCAACCUGUCUGUGGUCUUCACCAGACCGUGGGUGAGAAGUGAGGUCACAGGGAAAGGAGAGGAGGGGAUCCUUGCUUGUGACAUGGAGGGCUCAGGGGAGGGUGAUGGCACUGCAGGCGGAGGCGCUGGGGAAGAUGGAGAGCCUGUUUCUUCCAUAGAGGAAGGGCUUGUCCCAGAUGCAUCCUUAGGACCUCUGCUCCUGAGAGUGGCUAUCUCUGAGUGGGUAAAACUCUGAGUCACAGCCAAAUUAGUCCCUGCCGCAGAAGCUUUGGUCGAUGUGUCCAAGGUAAGUGUACCCCAUGACACAGCUGCAGGGAGACCCAUUUGGGUGGUGAUGGUCAUUUCUGCAGAUUCUGUGGUGACUGGGGAGGUAGAGGGCCUGGUGAUUGUGCCUGCAGGGAUGUUUGGUGACACCACGGACUGAACCAGGGUAGGGAUGGAUGUGCUGCCAGAGGAGAUGGGUUCUGUGCCAGAGACCUCAGUAGUAGUAUCAGUGGGCACUCUGGAAGUGACAGUGAUGUUCUCUGUGGCUGAGCUGAUCUGCUGGAUGGUGCUGGUCUCCCUCAGGUCAGGGGUCAGAGAGGAUGUUGAGUCUGUCUUAGUUGGUGUAAUUUCAGAAGAGUGAGACACUGAUGUGGAAACAGCAGUGUUCCUAGAGGUGGAAGAAGUCACCAUUGGAGACAUGGCACUAUCUGGCUUUGAGUCAGCUGGGGCAGAGGAAUGUAUUUCUUGUCCAGAAGUUGUGAGGGCCCCGCUGGUCACUGCUGUGUUUUCAGAAGAGCAAAUGGCCUCUGUACCUGUGGAGGCUUCAGAAGUGGACAGUAUCUCAAUGGUGGUGCUGAUCAUGCUUGCAGGUGAACUAGUCACAGGCUCUAAGCUUGGACCCAACCUGUCUGUGGUCUUCACCAGACCGUGGGUGAGAAGUGAGGUCACAGGGGUAGGAGAGGAGGGGUUCCUCGCUGGUGACGUGGAGGGCUCAGGGGAGGGUGACAUCAUAGCAGGUAUAGGUGCUGGGGAAGAUGGAGAGCCUGUUUCUUCCAUGAAGGAAGGGGUUGUCCCAGACACAUCUUCAGCCCCUUUGCUCAUAGAAGUCAUUAUCUCUGUGUGUAGAAGUCCCUGGGUCACAGCUGCAUGGAUCCCCACCAUGGAUGAUGUGAUUGGUGUGUCCUGGGGAGGUGUCCUCUGUGAUACAGCUACAGAAGGACCUUUUUCAAUGGUCACAGCUCUUUCUGUUGAUUCUGUCCUUGUGAGGAAAGUAAAAAGUGUUGUGAUAUUUUCUGUGGAGUUUAUUGGUGACCCAGUGGAAGCUGAAGGGCCUGGACUGAGUCUACCACUAGACGAGAUGUCCUCUGUCCUUGUCACCUCAGUAACAGAACUAGUGCUCUCAUCGGGAAGGACAGUGACUGGCUCUGGGGAUGAGCUGAUCUCCUUAGAGGUCCUGGUUUCCCUCACUCUAAAGGUCAAGGUGGAACUUGUCUCAAUUCUUGUUGUCUCAGAGAAGUUAGACCUUGAUGUGGAAACCAUAGUUUUCCCUAUGGUGGUGGUAGUAUUGAUUGGAAAUAUGGCUUUGGAUGGCCCUGAGUCAGAUGAGACAAAGGAACGUGAUUCAUGUUCAGAGUUGGUGGUCCCCACCUUGGUUACUACUGUGUUUUUGGAAGGAUCUGUACUUGAGAUUUUCCCUUGAUAGGGGCUGGCAUCCCUCAGUCCAGGGGUCAUGGAGGAUAUUGGCUCUGUCUCAAUCUUUGUAGAUUCAGAAGAGUCUAGAAUUGAUGUGGAAGCAGUGGUGUCCCUUAUGGUAGAAAAGAUCAUCCUUGGAGAUGUGGCUUUGGAUGGCUCUGUGUUGGCUGGGACGGUGAAGUGUGAUUUGUGUGGUGAACUUGUGAUCCCCAUGGUGGUUACUGCAGUGCUUUUUGAAGGAUGAAUUGUUUGUGUAUCUGUGGUGGCUUCUAAAGUGGUCAAUAUCUCAUUCGAGAUGCUUUUCCCCCUUUUGGGUGUACUGGUCAUGGGUUCCAAGCUUGUGUCCCACAUGUCUGUGGUCUUUCCCAGGCCAGAGGUGAGAACUGAGGUCAUGGAAACAGAAGAGAAGGUACUGUGUUCUUGUAAUGUAAAAAGCGCAGGAGAAGGUGAAGUUGUGGCAAGGAUGGCUUCUUGAGAAGAGGGAGACCCGGUUUUUUCCACAGAGGGAGAGUUUAUCCAAGAUGAAUCUUCGGAAGCUUUGCUCAUGGGAGUAGUUGUCUCUGACUGUGGAAACUGCCGAGUCACAGCCAAGUGGGUUCCUUCCCAGGAGGUCACAGUUGAUGUGCUCAAGGUAAAUGGCCUUUGUGUUGUAGCACUAGGAGGAGCCGUUUGGGUAGCGAUGGUCAUUCGUGAAGACUCUGUCAUGGCAGAGAAGGCAGAAGGCCUGGUGAUUCCUGAUGAACCUAUGGACUGAGUUAGACCUGGGCUUGAAACUCUGUCUGAGGUAGUGACUUCUGUCCUGGAACCUCUGGUAAUAGCAAAAGAACUUGGGGAAUGGACAGUGCUUAUCUCCGUGGUUGAGUUGGUACACACUGACUCCCUCAGUUCAGUGGUCAAGGGGUAAUCAAGCUCUGUUCCAGCCCUUGUGGAUUCAGGUGGGGUAGUUGUUGAUGUGGAAACAAUGGUAUUCACCAUGAUGGAGGUAGUAUUCAUUGGGUGUGUGUCCAUGAAUGACUCUGAGUAGGGUGGGACAGUGGAAUGAAGAUUAUGUUCAGAACUUGGGGGCCAUACUGUUGUAGCUACUAUGUUUGUAGAUGAGUGAAUUGCCUUUUUGUCUGGGGAAGAUUCAGAAAUGGCUGUUCUCCCAGAGGCGCUACUUUUCCAACUUGGAGGUGAAGUUGUCUCAGAUUCUGAGCUUAUGCCCAGUUGAUCUGUGGUCAUUAAUAAGCCUGGGGAGUCAGUAAUCUCCUUGAUGGUCCCUCCUGAGACAGAAGAGACAUUGAUCACCUCGGUGUUCAGGGGUGUGCUUGAGCUUGACUCUUCUUCCCCCAUCUGGGAAUGAGAUAGAGCUCUUGCUUCUGUUGUAGGAGUCCUUAGCCCAUUCCCCUGGGAGGCUGGAUCUGGAGUUCUUACUGUGUAUGGGAUUAAAUCCAGAGUUGCUGCUUCUGGUCUAAACACAUGCCCUGGAUCUGCAGAGGUUGUGGUGGGAAGCUGGGUAGAACCUUGCUCUGUGUCUUGGCUGGCAAGAUCUGGCCUCCCAGAUAAAGUGACUUUAGCAUUAUUUACCAUUGUAGCAGGUGAGACCCCACUUGUAGUGUCCCCUAUAGAGGAUGGCAGCUGUGCGGUAUCUGGGCUGAUCGUGUUCUCCAAAGGGAGUUCUGGAGGAGUGGUGACCCCCUGAAAAGAUGAGGUAGUGUUAACAACUGAUGACAUGGAAGUCUCAGUGGUCUGGGCAAGAGUAGAUCGAGAAUCAAGCAUUGAAGUGGAAAGGAGGCUCUUUGAGGUGAUCUUUGUAUUUGGAUGGUCAGUAGAAGGCGUUGAAACAUAUACAGCUUCUGUUUCUCCUUGACUGGGAGUCCA